GCGCCCGUAGCUCAGCUGGAUAGAGCAACGGCCUUCUAAGCCGUGGGUCGCAGGUUCGAAUCCUGCCGGGCGCG
rfam:Lacimicrobium alkaliphilum strain YelD216, complete genome.